rnacentral:rRNA from 1 species
UAUUAUAAUAUUAUAUUGAAAAGAUAUAUUCAAUUAUGCCACUGUAGGCGGUUAUAAACAAAGAUUAGAAUAAUAAAUAACUAAUAUCAUCUUUUAAUGCUCUACGUCACGUUUUUUAUUAUCUAGAAUAAAAAAGCAAAUAAAAGGAGUAUGCCCAAAGGACUCUACAAUUUAAAUACGAUAAGACAGGCAUACUUUUUAAUCCUUAUAUGAUCUUUGCUUUUUUUAUUAAUAAAAAAAGUUAAAAAGUGGUUGGCAUACUUUAUAAUUUUGUUAUAUACUCCUUCUCACGUUCUUACCUAUAUCUUUUUUUCUAAAAUUUGCGCUACGUCACAUUUUUUUCCUUUCUUUUUUCAUUAUAUUUAUAUAAUGAUAUCGCCCGGCAAAGGGGCAAAGGCGCAAAUGGGCAAAGAAAGGCGUUUAAAAUUAAGCACUUAAAAAAGCACAUAGUGAGCCAGACUAGGCCUACGUCCUUACAGAAUCUGACGCUAAAAAAUAACGUAAGUUUAAAGGGCAUAGGUAUUCUAUUAAAUAUAAGAAGAGUUUUAGUUUUAAAUGGGACGUAAAGUAUGACCAACUUUUUAUGUUUAAGUUCAUUUAAUCCCCCUUGGGGCGUUAAGAUAAGGGUAUAGUCCUAGUGUAAAGGUGAGCACAGACAGAUUCCAACCAUUACAAAAAAUAACUUGGCGCCCUCCCUUCUUUCAUUUUUAAACUUUUUUAUUAUAUAUAAUAAAAAAAUUAUAUAAAAAUUUCCUGGGGCUAUAGAAGUGAACCUGCCGAUAACCUUACUUAUAAGAUAUUAAUAUUUAAAUAAGUGGCCCUCCGGGUGUAUAAGUUACGCCGAUACUAUACCAAGAGUGUAGUUUUAAAUACAGUAGGCUCUGCCUAUAAACUUAAAAUAGUAUUCAGUAUAGCCUAUACAAUAUAAGGUCUUAAUAUAUAUUAUAUUUGAUUCUAUUAUUAUUACUUUACUUAUAUUUUUUUUUAUUAUAAUAAAAAGGUUAAUAAUUUAGCACCAAUUUUAUCUUUUUCAUUCUUUUUUUUUAUACAUAAAAAAAGAUAAGGACACCUUUGCACUUUUUAAUUAUAUAUAAUAAAAUAAGGUAAGAUAUAUAAUAAAAAAAGAACGUGCAAAGCGAUUAACUUUACUCACUAUCUAUAUAUCUAUGAAAUUAAUAUUAAAUUCAUGACAAUAAACUAUUGUUUGUCAUUUAUUUUCUUUGCUUUACGGCUACGCCGAUUAUAGAUAAUAAAAAAUUAAAAAAUUCUGUAAGGUGAGGGUCAUAAUAGACUGCAAUUAUUAUUAUUAAAGUGGUCCGCAAAGGCUACGCCCUUCUAUACGUUGUUAUCGGCGCUAAAAUUCUUAUCUUACUUGUUCGCUUUGGAUUUCUAUAUUCUGGGUAACCUUAUACAAAGCGCCGGGCAAAUUACGUUCUUAUUAUAUAUAAUAAAAAUCAAAGAAGCGUGGCUCGGCGGAGCCGUUAAGAUAUAAAUAAAAAUAGAAAUAUAAAUUGCCGGGCAAAGGGGCAAAGGGGUAAAGGGACUAAGGGGCAAAGGGGCAAAGGGGCAAAGGGGCAAAGGGGCAAAGGGAGGUGUUGAAACAUAAAUAGAAAUAGGAAUAGAAAUAGAAAUCAAAUAUCUAUAUAUGUCCCGGUAAUUACAAAUCCUAGGAGACGUGUGAAGAGCCCUGCAAAGGGAACCGUCGAGUUUAUUUUUUUUAUUAUAUAUAUAAUAUCCUAAUAGCCAGGCAAAGGGUGGGUCGGUAACGUCUUUGCUUUUUUAUUAUAUAGAAUCGGCGGAGCCUCGGCGGAGCCUCGGCGGAGCCUCGGCGGAGCCUCGGCGGAGCCGUAAAGUGCAAGGACUUCUCUUAGGUAUAAUACUAGAUAAUAAAGCAGUUAUUAUACGUCUAUUCUGCAAUUUUACUUUAUAAUUAUAAGUAUCAAUAAUGAUAUGGAGUAUAUUAUUUAGUAAUUAAAGAAACUAUUAGGGAUGCCUAGUAUAUAUGUAAUAAAAGGAAGUAAAAAACUAAAAGUGUAUUAAAUAAUCAGAAUAAUAUUCAAUCCUAAGGAAAACCUAAAUUUAUUAGAACAUUGAGAAGUAAAACAUUACAGUAUCAAUAGGAAAGGAAAUCAACCGAGACUUUGGAAGUAAUGGUGAAUGAAACCAAAAUAGCUAUUAAUUAAUUCUAUAGUCUUCUUUUUUAUAAUAUCUCACGGCUCCGCCGAUAAUAAAAAAGAUUAGGUAUACAAGUUAUUAAUUAUGUACUCAUAUUUUUUUAUGCCCUUUGGGCCUUUGUUUUUUUCUGCUUUUUUAUUAUAAAUAAUCGGCGAAGCCGUAAAGUGGAGAAAAAACAAAGGGAGCGCCGGAUCUUACCUUGACUUUUUCUAUUUUUGCUUUUUUUUUAUUUUUUUUUUUAUUAUAUAUAUAUAAUAAAAAAAAAACAAAGGAUAAUAAGCCCAAAAAAAGAAAAAAAAAGAAGAAGGGGCAAGGGGAGGCGUUUAAAAAAGUUAUAAAGACAAUAUAUGUAGUAAUAAUUUUUUAAAAUACGUAAUAUGUGAGAUUAUAGAUUAUUAUUUAUAAUAUAAUAUUUUGAAAUAAAUAAAAUACUAUCUUAAUAUUAUUAUUUAAAGGGGGCAUCGUCCCCUCUUUGCUUUUUUAUUUAUAAAAAAGUUUAAAAAAAGAAAUAUUUAGUAUUCCAUAGAAGGUUAUAGCCCAGUAUUAUUAUAAUAUUAGUUAAUUUAGAUGGGCUUUGUUCAUACCUUUUUUUUCUUAUAUAAUGAAAAAAAAAAAAUAAAAAAAGUAUGCCGAGCCUAUAUAAUUUAAACUUAACUCCUUUUUAAACUUUUUUUUAUACUAAAAAAAUAAAAGGAGUUAAGAUUAAGAUAAAUAAUAAGUACUAAGAGGACGUCAGCCUUUUAGGAAAAUAGGGGUACCAUCCUCUAAAGCUAAGUAUAACAUAUAUAACAAUAAAGAAGAGUAACGUGAGUGAAAGGUGAAAAGUAAGUAGAUGACUAGUUAAAUAGAUUCUGAACUAGUAGUUUUAUAAGCAGUUAAAGUUCUAUAAGUUAGAAUAAUAACGUACCUUUUGCAUAAUGGGUCAGCGAGUUAAUUUUUAUAGCAUGACAAAUAGUCUAAGUGAAAGCAAUUGCAUAAAUAUACUUAACGUAUGAAAGUGGUAGAGUCUAAUCUUUAUCAGGGGUUCCUCUUUGCUUUUUUAUUCUUUGUUUUUUAUUAUAAUAAAAAAAAUAAAUAUAAUGAAGAAAAAAAAAGGAUAAAAAAGCAAAGACGCAUAAAAAAAGUGACGGGGGGGCGAAGCCUCCCCCGUCACUUUUUUUAACCGGUGAUCUCUUUUACCCUUUUUAAAUAUGCAAAUUAGUUAUAAAAAUUAGACCCGAAGCCAAGUGAUCUUACUAUGAUCAGGUAUUAAAUAUAUAAUGACCGAACAAGUGAAUGUUGCAAAAUUCUUUGAUGAAUUGUAGUAAGGGGUGAAAUGCUAAUCUAACUUGGUUGAUAGCUGGUAUUCUGCGAAACCUAUUUAGGUAGGAUGUUUAUAAUAAAAAAGUGACAUAAAAAUCAUUUUUAUAGAUUAUUUUUUGUACAGCACUGAUCAUCAUAUGUUAUCUUUAUAUGUUACUAUACAAGGAAACUUUUAUUCUAACAUGGUCGGUAAACUUUUUAAAGUAUCCGAUAAAAUUUAUAUACUAAAUUGGGGGAUUCUAAAUUCUACCAUUGAUGGUUAACCUCGGAAUAAAAAUAAUUGAUUAUAAACGUACAGUCUAUUCUUGAUAAGGUGGAUAGACAAAAGGGAAACAGCCCAGAACAAAAGUUAAGGUCCCUAAAUAUUAUUUAGUGAAAAUAAGAAUGUUUUUUUCCUAACACAACCAUUAAGUAGGCUUGGAGGUACGCAAAAGCGUCAGUGCCUCAGUAGUAAGUGAUUACUAUUUAAGUACCUACUCAAAACGGUGAAACCUAAGGUGUAAACUAUGGCAAUACCGUGGGUAAGUCGUAUCAUUGCAGAGAUUCUUACAUUACUGUUUUUAAAUGGAUUUAAACGACUCUCGCGAGUGCGUGCCAUAUAAAUAGGUAAUGCUUCUAUUUCUUCGUUUUUUACAUUAUAAAUUUUUUAUAUCUAAUAUAAAAGAAAAUAAUUUUUGUAAAGACGGCAAAAGGAAACCCUUGAUAUUGACCCCGUAACGACUGAUUCGAAAGAAGAGACGUAGAAUAAUAUAUUCUAUGUAACACGUAGGCACUCUAUGAAUCUCAAUCUACUAAGGAAUAAAGAAAAAUGAAAAAUAUAUGAACACUAUAAAAAUGAAUACAAAUACAAAUAUGAAAAUAAGCCCUUGGUGGCUAACAGGCUUUACUCAAGCCGAUGGGAGUUUUAUGAUAAUUAUUAAAAAACAACCAAAAGGAAAAAUACCUUACCGUCUUUAUCCUUGUUUUACUCUUACUCAAAAUAUGAUAGAUAUUACCAUGAUGAAAGCUAUUCAUAGCUAUCUAGGAGUUGGUCGGCUAGUAAUCAAUCGAAAUAGGGUAGAUAUAGUAGUAAGUUCUAUGGAUGAUCUUCUACAUGUUAUUAUACCGCAUUUUGAUAAAUAUCCACCACGUAGUGGUAAACUAAUGUCUUAUCUUAUUUUUCGAACAGUAGUCCUUGCUAUGAAAGAUAAAAUGCACAGUAGUCCCGAGGGUUUCCUUAAGCUACUUGAUCUCUGUUAUUUUACACAUAGCACUUCUACUCGUACGAUAGUGUCAAAACAAAUAAUAGAAAAUAGAGUGGGUAUUAUAAAUAAAUCAAAGGAUCUAGUACCUAUUGAUUUUUCAAUAGUAACACCGUCCCGAGAACAUGUAAAUUUUAAUAAUGAUUUUAUAGCCGGACUUUUUGAUGGUGAUGGUAAUCUAGGCUUUAGCUUUAGAAAAACAAAAAUACAAAGUUUUUUCCAAGUAACUCAAGGUAUAGAUGACUAUUCUCUCCUUCUAGAUCUUAAAAUAUUUUUCCAAUGUGGGAAUGUAAGUUCUGUUUGGGGCACUAAAAGAGAAGCUAGACGAUAUCGGGUUUCAGGUAUUUCCAAUCUAGUAGAAAAAGUUCAACCGGUACUAGAAUCAGUAGAACUGAAAAGUAUAAAAAGAACUUAUCUAGAACCUAGUUUUGAAGCAUGAAAAAUACAAUAUCAGGGUAUAAAAUCAAAUAGAGAUGAACUAGCUAUAAUAGAUCUAGUUUAUGAUCUACAUCAAGGUGGAAAAUCCCGAAAAGUAGAUAAAGAAAGAUAUAAACUUUCUCGUAAACUAUAUAUGUAAAACCACAAUCUCUAUAUUUCUACCCCCCCCUAUGGUAAGAUAAUCAUAUUUAUAUUUAUACUCAUAUUUAACCUGUGUUCAUAUUUACUAUCUGAUGGAUAAAGUCCAUCAUAUUCCUAAGGUAGAAAUAGAGUUGAAGGUAUAGUCUGAUCUAUUGUGAAAACGAUAGAAUAAUUGAGCCAUCUUUUUAUGAUAGUGUAAUAACUCAGUGGUCUAAACGCCUUCCGGGCGAUAUAAUUAAUUAUAUUGGAAAAAAGCGUCUACAAUUUAUUGGGUCUCAGAUAAUAUACCUACACUUUGUCUAUUUUAUUGAAAAUACUUUAAAGCCGAAGGCAAAGGCCGAAGGCAAAGGCCGAAGGCCUCCUUUUUUAUUAUGUCUAAUAAAAAAGCAAACCCCCUAGGGAGGGCGAAGCCCCCCCAUCACUUUUUAAAAAGAAAUUGCCGAAGGCGUUGUGAUUCUUUGCUUUUUUAUUAUAUUUUUUUAUUAUAUUUAUAUAAUAAAAAAACAAAGAUAGAAUCGGCGAAGCCUCGGCGAAGCCGUAAAGUUAACAUUUAACACGUGGUAUAAUAAAAAAAUAUGAAAAGAUUUAAAUAAAAUAAGGGUAGCAGAACAUUUAGUAUAAUAAUGAAAAUUUGUAUUUAUUGAUAAAUUGGAAGAUACUAAAGAGAAAAUGCUGACAUGAGUAACGUAGAAAGGGAUUAAAAUAUUCCUCACCGAAAACGAGAGGGUUUCAUAGAUAAGUUUAUCUGCUAUGAGUUAAUCGGUUUCUAAGGCAUAUAUAUGAUCAUAUAUAUCUGAUGACAUUAAACUUUUUUUUUUUUAUUACCUAGGAGGACGCCUAUGUCCUUUUUUUCUAUUUCUUACCUUUUUUAUUAUAUAACGGGCAAAGGCCCCGCCCCCUUCUUUUUUAAUAUAUAAACUUUUUUAAGUAUUUAUCGAUAAUAAAAAAGCAAAGAAAAGAACGGUACGGAGGUGUUAAAAAUGGAUUACUGGAAUAGAAUGCCCUAAUCUUUACGGCUUCGCCGAGGCUUCGCCGAGGCUUCGCCGAUUAUUAUAAAAAGAAGGGAUAGGGGGGGGUCUACGACCUCCCCUUCUAGAAGGUUAUAAAAUAAUUAAAAACUACCGGGCUUUGUCCCGUAUCAAGAAAUUAAUGAUAAAAAUAAUAUGUAAAUAACAUAGUUAGGCGAGGUGUAUUCUUUUAACUUUAUUUAAAACUUUUUGAUCUUUUAGCUUUUUUAUUAUCGAUAAUAAAAAAGUUAAAAGUUCAAAAAGUUAUAAAGCAAAGAGGAUGCGCCCUUCAAAAUAAAAGAAUAAAUUAAAUUAUUAUCGACUCUAUGCUUUUUAUUUAUAUAACAUUUUAUAGACCGUACCCUAAUCCGACACAGGUUCGUAGGUAGAGAAUACUAAGGUGUAGAGAUAAUACUUGUGAAGGAACUCGGCAAAAUGUAUCCGUACGUUCGACAAUAAGGAUAACCAUUUUAUGUAUAUCUUUGUAUACAUACAAUGUGUGACACAAAAUCGAGAGCUGCGACUGUUUACCAAAAACACAGCAACUUGCUAAGACAUUUAGUAUUUGUAUAAGUUGUGAACUCUGCCCGAUGCCACAUAGUAUAAAAAAGAUGAUUUUAUGUCAUUGAUCGACACUGUGGUGAAUGGCGGUCUUAACUAUAAGGAUCUGAAAGUAGCAAAAUUCCUUGGCCAUUAAAUGUGGUCCUGCAUGAAUGAGGUAACGUGGCUCUGCUGUCUCCACAAGUAUCUCAGUGAAAUUGAAUUAGCCGUGCAGAUGCGGUUUGUCUUCAGGUAGACGGGAAGACCCUAUGCAACUUUACUGUAGUUUGAUAUUGUGUUUUUGUUCUUUAAGUGUAGAAUACAAGGGAGUAAAUAUUUUACGUCAGUGAAAUACCUUGAUUAAUAGAAUAAGAAAACUUACCAAAAUAAAUUACGAGGGCUACGCUCUUGAAAAACCACAUUUUGGGAAAAUGUCAAAUUGUCAGUUUGACUGGGACGGUAGCCUCUAAUAAAGUAUCAGAGGCCUUCAAAGGUAUGUAUAUAUUGGUCAGAAACCAAUAAAUUAUGAAUAAUUUAAUAAAAUAUACGCUAGGGAUGGACUAAACCUAGUCCCUAGCUAUCUUUGCUUUUUUAUUAUAUAUAAUAAAAAAGUUACAAUAAAACAUUGUAAUUUAAAAAAUCGGGUGAAUUGCAAGAACCUCUUAAAAAUUACGAUCCUUUUAAGACAAUUUGCAGCGAAGUUACAGUAUACGGGUACUACCGUUUAUACUAUAAAACGUUCAACGACUAGAGAAUAUUAUUUCUCCACGAGCGCCCGACAUUUCACUUUUAAUUAGAUUAGAUUAGAUUAGAUUAGAUUAAAUUAAAUUAAAUUAGAUAAAAGAAGCCCCAAUUUAAACUUAAACUAAACUUAAAAAAGCAUUGGCUACGGCCCUAACACAAUAAUAUAAAAACAAAGCGCCGUAGGCGUCUUUGCUUUUUUAUUAUAUAUAAUAAAAAAAUUUAAAAAUGGAACUAGAGCUAAGAGGUAAAAAACUUAGUCCUAAUUCAAAAAUAAUUAAAGAAUAUAAAUCUACUCUCCCAGAACUCACAGAAUUUCAGAAGGAAGUUAGAAUAGGGCAUCUCCUAGGUGAUGCCCGUAUUGAGUCAAGAAAAAGCGGUAAAGGUCAUCUCCUAAAAUUUGAAUGAGGUCAUUCAAAUAAAAGUUAUGCAUUCAGAACAUAUAAUAUUUUUAUCGACUAUUGUCUAACCGAACCACGUCAACAAAAUCGGAUUAAUAAAGCCGGAAACACUAAUAUAACUUGGUGUUUUCAAACUCUUAUUCACUCUAACUUUAAUUUUAACGCCUCGGCGAUUUGGUGAUCUAUUUCUAGAUGAAAAGGGUAAAAAACGAGUGCCUAUAGAGCUAUUUGAUAGCGGUAAUAUUUCUCCAAUUAUACUGGCAUACUGGUUUAUGGACGAUGGUGGUAUGAAUGGAAGUCAUUCACUUCCUCCCCGAGGGGAGGUUAGGUAUACAAUUCAAUACUCAAAGCUUUACUAUUCUUAUCGGCAAAGCCGUUUGCUUUUUUUAUUAUAUAUAAUAAAAAAAGUGAAGAAGUGGAUAAAAUGACUAAUGGCCUUAAUCAAACAUAUAAUUUUAAUGCUUGGCGUGGUUCCAAUAAAGGAAAACCUGUUAUUAACCUUCCUGCGGCAAAGGGAGUGUUUAUGAUAAAUUUAUAACUAUUACAUCUCCCAAAGGGAGACAAGGAAAGGAUUAUAUUCAUCCUAGUAUGAAACAUAAAUUUCGUAUGCGUCUUUGCUUUUUUAUUAUAUAUAAUAAAAAAGUUAAAAAUUAUAGAUGAUAAGCUGAAUAUUUACCCCCCCCUUGGAAUUCUUUGAUUAAUUUAUAUUAAAUGCCUACGGCAUUUUGUUUUUUAUAUAAUAUUUGUUAGUUACUACCUUUGCUUUUUAAUAAUAUCUAAUUAAAAGCUGAAAUGAUGACAUAGUCUAAACUACAUAGCGAUAUGUAGAAAGUAAUUUAAUAGUUACUCUUGGCAUAGCCAAAUAAUAUAAUUUGAACAGGUUUAUCGUUUGCGAGAGUUCAUAUUGUCCAAACGGUUUGACACCUCGAUAAAAAAAAGAGUCAAUGUCGAGGCUAAAUUGGGUUAAUUGCAGGAAAAACUUACUAAUUAACUCAUUAGUAAGUCAAUCUGCAGCGAAGACUAUUACGAUACUAAUUUUAUGUAAUAGGAACGUUCAACGACUAGAAGGUGAGUUGUAUCAACAAUAAUCCUUACCUCUUAUUUCCGUUAUGCUAUUUGCUUUUUUAUUACAUAUAAUAAAAAAGUAGGAAAUAAGUAGAACGCCCAACAAUAAUACAUUAAACCCGGCUUAACUAGUUUUGUAAGCGUGCUUUAACUGACCCAGAUCUCUUCUUUGCUUUUUUUAUUUUUUUUUAUUAUAUAUAUAUAAUAAAAAUAAAAAAAUAAAAAAAGUUUAUUAUAGUAAAUAUUUAACCCCCUAAAUAGUAUCUUUAUAUAUAAAGACAUAAAGAAGAACGGCGAGAGAUAAAAUAACCGGAAUUUAACAGAUAAAAAACAUGAAAACAUUUAUAAAUAAAAAAGGGAAAGGUAUGGGGCCUAGCCUCCUUCCUUUUAACAAUAUUCUAGUACAAGUUCGUAGUAUAAACAAUACACGUGACGGUUACCAUCUUAAUUCAAAAUAUUGGCAAGAUUGGAAAAAAAGACAGCCCAUAAUGUCUCAGGAACUAUAUCAAAUAGCAUUUGGAAUGAUUCUGUCCGAUGCAGGUAUGUCUCGGAAGAGUAAUGAAGCUAUGAUAAAGUUUGAACAAAGGGCUAAUCAAAAGGAUUUUCUUUUUCAUCUUUUUUCCACUUUCAAACCGUAUUGUUAGUCUUUUUUUUUAUAAAAAAAAGAUAUGAUGGAACCGGGUAUUCGUUAUUAUUUUUUUAUUAUAUUUAUAUAAUAAAAAAACAAAGAUAACAGUGGUCCUCUUGAAGGACAAAUAAAAAGUUACUGGUUUAAAACAUUUAGUCAUCAGACUUUCUCGGAACUUUGAUGGGCAGAGCCCACUUAUUUUAUUCCAAUUCCAAUACUAAAGAAAUACGAUCAGGAAUUGUAUCCAACAACAUUUCUGAUAUUAGUCUUGCUUAUUGGAUAAUGGGAGAUGGUAGUCUACAUCGUGAAGGUCGGGUGCUAAGUCUACAUACUCAGAGUUUUGGUUAUGAAGGAUCAAAAAUAAUAAGUGAAGAACUUAAUGAGAAGUUCGGAUUUCAUAGUCGAGUCAUUUCUUCUUUUUUAUUUAUUAUAUAUAAUAAAUAAAAAAGAUAUAAGGAGAAAUAUUGGAUAGUACAAUUUCCAGCUCAAGAUGCAAAUACUCUACAUAAUAUGAUUAAACCGUAUCUUAUUAAUUCUAUGACUUAUAAACUGCCACGAUUUAUAUUAAAAUAUUGUUAACCCCCACCCAUAGCCUGUAGGGAAGUGUGGAAAAUGUUUUGUAUUAUUGAAGAUAUAGUCUAAUCUACAAGGGAACUUGUAGCUCUAAGUGUAAGCAACUUAGAACGUCCAUAAUAAUUUAAUUUAUGGAUGGAAAAUGGUCGACUCAUCUCAUCCUCCAGGUGUAGUAGCUUGGAAGGGUUCAGCUGUUCGCUGAUUAAAGAGGUACGCGAGUUGGGUUUAUUAUUACUUAUGACAAUAAUAACAUUAUAAAUUUUACCAGAUUAAAAAAUAAGACUAAAUACAGACAAAAAAUGAAAAUGAACAAUAAACUACACUAUAUUAUCACGGGGCAAAUCCUUGGUGAUGCUCACCUUGAGAAAAUAAAAGUAAAUUGUCGAAUGUCUUUUUCCUUUGGUUCUUCUUAUCUAGAAUAUGCCAAUUGAAUUAGAUCUCUUUUCUCAGACUACUCUUGCUCUUUUUUUAUAUUAUAAAAAAAGAUAAGGAGUUUAUACUGUAACAGUUAAUAGAAAAGAAAAAUCAUAUGUAAAUUAUCGUCUAAAAACGAAAACACUGCCUAUUUUUAAUGAUUAUCAUAAUACAUUUUAUCGCAACGAUGAAAACAAAUAUAUUAAGAUAAUUCCAUCUCCCUCUGGGAGACAAGAAUAUUAAAAUAAAUCCCGUAGUACUGGCCCAUUUCAAAAGUAGAAAGUAGUCCUUUUUUUAAUAUAUUAAAAAAAGGAUAUGGGUGACGGUAAUUAUUAUAAAGAUGGUCGUAUUCGUAUUUACACUAAUUAUUAUUCAUAUGAUGAAUGUAUUAUUCUACGAAAUAGAAUUCGUGAAGGUUGUGGGAUUCAAUGUGAAGUCCUAUUUGACCGUAUCGGUUCUUAUCAGAAAAAACAAUACAUUCUGACUAUUGCCAAAAGUGAACUAAAAAAAGUACAGACAAUUCUUAUGCCUCAUAUGCACAACAGUAUGCUAUAUCGCAUAGGGCUUUUAUUCUAUUUAAAUAAGACCCCCCCCCACAUUAUAUGUAUUUUGUUUUCAUUAAUUUUUAAUCUUGCCAAAGUUUAUAAAAAAAAAGUAUUGAGCCCAAAUAAAACUGGAUGAAUUGCAGGGAAAACUAAUUGUUAGUUUAUCUGCAGCGAAGUUAUUCUCAAUGCCCUUCUAAUCUUAAUUCUAAUUAGAUUAAGCAUAGAUUGUAGAGAAUAAAACGUUCAACGACUACUUGGUGAGCUGCAUUAGCAAUAAUCCGAUAUAAAGUGUCCAGCAAUAAAUUACAUUGUAAUAGUGUAAUUUAUUGAAGAAAUAGUCUAAUCAAUGAUGUAAAUCAUUGGAAUUCAAAGCCUUUUAAUAUAAUAAGGUCUAGGGGAGACAUAUGAUCUUCCCUUACAAAAUUUGAAUUCAUAAUAAUAUUUGUCAAUACGACGUGAGUCAGUAUGGUCCCUAUCUUCUGAAGAUAUGAAAAAUUGAAAGAGAACCUUUAAUUAGUACGAAAGGACCAUUAAAGAUGAUUCAAUAGUGUACCUAUUGUAUAAUAUUUAUAUACCCUAUAUAUGUACUUUUUGGUUUUAACUUUUUUAAACACCCCCUUUUGCUUUAGCCCCCCGGAUCUUUUUUUUUUUUCUAUAGAAAAAAAGAUGAGAAGAAGGAAGAUCUCUUUUAUUUUUAUAAUAUAAAAAUUUGAAAAAAUAAAGGAUAAUAAGAACGGUAAUGUUAAUCGGCUCUGCCGACAAGAAGAAAGGAAUAAGAAAGGAUUAAAAAGUAGCGCAUUAAAAACAUAAGGUAUAGAUAAAGCAUAGUAGGGUAGCUACAAUCAUGAUUGAUAAGUGCUGAAAGCAUCUUAAGCACGAAGCACCUCUCUAUAAAUUCUAAUAAAUAAGAAAAUGACGAUUUCUUAUCUCCCAGGGAGACUUGAUUAUAAUAAUAAUCAAUAAUAAACAUUUUAAUAUAAUAAGUAAUUUAUAUCUCUGUUUAUUAACAUUAUAGGUUGCUAAUGUAAGUAUGAAUAACAUAUUAAGUUUAGCAAUACUAAUUUAUUUUAUUACUAAAUAAAACCAUAUCUAAUUCUAACUUUUUUAUAGGUAAAUAAUGAAGUGUUCCUUUUUGAUCUUUUUUUAUAUCUUUUUUAUAUCCUUUUAAAAAAAAAUCUAAUAUUUUGCCUUUACUUAUGCUUUUUAGAAGGCCCUGUCCCCAUCUUUUUUAAUAUUAGAAAAAAGAACGGUACGGGCCUUUGCCCUAUUUUUUUUUUCUAUUAUAUAAUUCUUUUUUAUUAAUCUUAAUUUGUUUUUUUAUUAUAUAAAUAUAAUAAAAAAAUGAAAAAACAAAGGGAGCGCCGGUUUAAAAAGGGGGGCUUCCCCCCGCCUUUUUGGUGCUAUGUCUUUGCUUUUUUUUUCAAAAGUUUAAAAAAGUUUAAAAUUAAUAAAAAAAAGCACUGAAUCUGGACAGACAUUAAUAAAAAGACAAAGAAGGGCCCAGGUAUUUUUUUUAUAGGUCCAAUAUAAAAAAAUAUGCCAAUCUUACUGGUUUUCAUUAUAUAGGGAUAUCGUUAACAACUGUAAGAUUAGGGUAAGAUAUAGCACUUAAAAAAAGGGUAUAAAGGUUAAAACCCUGAGCCUAAAUGACUCAUCCUUUACCCUUUUCUCUUUCAUCUUAAUAUAUUGUUAGUUAUAUUGUAUUACGUUGUUCGUUUACCAUUUUUUUAUAAAAAAAGAAAUAUAAGAUUGAGUGUUGUUUUUAUCUUACCUUUACGGCUCCGCCGAUUAGAUAAAAAAAGUGAAUAAUAUAAGAGUUUAAAGACAUAACUGUCUACCGUUUUUCUUGGUCCUUACUUUUUUAUUUUUUUCAUUCUAUUUAUAUAAUUAAAAAAGCAACAAAUUUUUAUUAUUGAUAAUAAAAAGAUGUUAAAUCGCCCCUAGGGCGUUAAUAAGGGAGGCGUUAAGAUAAAAAAGAAGUGUAUAUUUUUUUCUAACCGGCGUUACCGUUAAAUUACCUACACCCUUUUAUCUCUUUUUAUCAAUGUCAAUGCUUUUUUUAUUAAUAAAAAAAAAGCAUAAGCAAAUAACCCCCAAAUAUAUUUAUUUGCUUUUUUUUUAAUAAAAAAAGCAUAAGCUAAGGCAAAAUCUAAUAUUAUAUUUUUUUAUUAUAUUUAUAUAAUAAAAAAAUAAAAAAGAAGGGUAUGUUUUUGUAUAUAAUAAAAAAACAGGGCGAAGCCCCCCCUUUAAAGUUAUAUAGUAGUAUAGAAAAAAAAAAAUAACCUCAUAUAAAACAUAAUUAUAUAAUUUUACCAAAAAGGAAUAGUUAUGUAAUUAGAUGCUUUAUUUUAUACGUGUAAAAUAACGUUAUUAGUCCAUAUAUUAGAAACUAGAUUAUUCGUUCCCUUUAUUUAGUUUCUUAAUUAUAAAAUAAUUUGUUCGAAAAAAAGCUAGAUUAAUACCAACCCUAGUACUAACUUACGGAAGGAUAUAUUUAUUUUUAAUAUAACCCGCAUAAUUCAUAGGUUUUUAUAUAUAUGAAGGCUUCUUUUCUUAUCGGCCUUCUUUUUUUAAGAGGCCGAUAAGAUAGAAAUAAAUUUAAUAUAUGUAUAAUAUAUGACAAAUAAUUACUAUUAUGAUAGGCAUAGCCCUUAUAAUACAGAAUUACAUAGAGCAUUCUUCUUAAUAAGAAAAUCAAGAUAUAAGCUUAUUAA